AACCUUGUGCAGUGGCAGUAUUUUAGUCAAUGAAGUUUAUCUGAGGUGGGAUUAUUGCUAACUGGAAGUUUUUCUCAAAAUAAAAAAUAAAAAUGGCAAGAGAUAUAGCUC
rnacentral:snRNA from 1 species